rnacentral:misc_RNA from 1 species
UAUCAGAACUUUUGUUGGUGCAGAUGCAAGGGGUCGAUAUUCAAAAUUAUUCAGAGACACUAUCAUUUCAGAUCUGAUUGAAAGAUACAUAAUAUCGGUACAUCAUAUAUAGUGCAAGGAAGGAGAAAACCAAGCAACAGUUAUGUUUUAAGUGCACUAGAAGACUACAACUCUUUAAAUAGUAAUCAUUAAAUUGUAAGGAAGA